UUUUUAUAGUGCUAAAAAUUUUAAUUAAUUUCGAAGAUAGGUAUAUUAUUUUUAGAAUUAAUAUUAUAGGGUGAAAUUUAAUUAUUAAUUAAAAUAUUUUUAUUGUGUUCGGUAAAUUGACUAAUAAACUAGGAUUAGAUACCCUACUAUUAAAACUUAAAUAACUUAAUUUUAUGAUUAAUAGUUAAGUUCUUUAAAGUAAAAGAAUUUGGCGGUAUUUUAUUCUUUCCAGAGGAACCUGUUCUAUAAUUGAUAAUCCACGAUUAAAUCAAUUUAUUUUAUGUUUACAUAUCGUUGUUUAAAGUAUUCUAAAAGGUUAUAUUUUUCAAUUAUUUUUUAAUUUAAAUCAGAUCAAGGUGUAGCUUAUAAGUAAAAAGUAAUGGGUUACAUUUAUAUAAAUAUUAAAUUUAAAAUUUUAAAUUUUAAUGAAAUUGGAUUUGGAAGUAAAUAUAUAUAUAUAUAUAUAUUGAUGAAGCUCUAAAAU
rnacentral:rRNA from 1 species